UUUAUUUUAUUUCAGGGAACUGGUGGUCAACAUAUGGAUGUGGUACACCAACUCUUCAAAAAAUGGCUACAAGGAUCCUUGCUUUGACGUCAAGCUCUUCAGGAUGUGAAAGAAAUUGGAGUUGCUUUGAAGGGAUUCACACAAAAAAGAGAAACAGGCUAGAUGUCAAUCGCUUAAAUAGCUUAGUCUAUGUGCAAUUCAAUGCUAAGCUGUUUAAGAAGCAGAAAAAAAUCAGAGAGCAAAAUGCCGAUGUGAUAUUUGACGAUGGUAAUGAAGAUACAGUGGAAGAAUGGCUUGUGGGCCAUGUACCAGACAUAGACCAUGAUCUUAAUUUGAUACUUGUAACCCAAGCUCCAAGGGUAAGAGAUUUAUAUGAUGAUGACUUUGAGUCUGAUGAAGAUGAGGAAUAUGUUGUGGAUAUGGAGUUUGAACCAGAUGGAUCACAAAAUAUUCCUCUCUCUCGUGAUUCACAUUCUACUUAGUAAGGUGUAUGUCUUUUGUUGCAGGUGUAUGUUAUAAGGUCUAACUCCUAACACAUCUACCCAAUUCAUGGUGAUUACUUGAUCUGAAGACAAAAGGACGAAGACUUCAAUCCUUUUUUGUAUUUUGUAUGUUCUCAAGAUCAAGACAAUCUAUUUUGUGUAUCUCAUGAAUUGGAAGUUUUUGUGCUUUUUAAAUUUGAUGUGUAAAGGAGAAAACUAUAUUUAUCUAUAACAAGUUAUAUAAUUGUGUCUAAAAACUGUAUCAUUAUAUUUAAAUUAUUUAAAAUAGCUAAAUAUAUUAUAAAUAUAUUAAAUUAUAUUUAAAACUAGGCCC